rnacentral:rRNA from 1 species
GACGAACGCUGGCGGCGUGCUUAACACAUGCAAGUCGAACGAAGUGGCGAACGGGUGAGUAUUACGUGUGUAACCUGCCCUCCUUUUUGGGAUAAGCCUCGGAAACGGGGUCUAAUACCCAAUAAAGGGGGAUGGGCUCGGGGCCUAUCAGCUUGUUGGUGGGGUGAUGGCCUACCAAGGCGGUGACGGGUAGCCGGCCUGGAUAUUGCCCAAUGGGCGAAAUUCUGAUGCAGCGACGCCGCGUGGGGGAUGAAGGCUUUCGGGUUGUAAACCUCUUGCGCUAUCGAAAGGGUAGGUGGAGAAGAAGCGGCGGCUAACUACGGGACAGCAGCCGCGGUAAUUC